AUGUCUUGCUGUGAUUCCUAUCUCCAAGGAUGCUGCAGCGUCCCCACUGGCCUGGCCACCACUAUCUGCCCCUCUGACAUAAGCUGUCAAUGUGAAGUCUGCCUACCCAGCACCUGUCCUCAUGAGAUCAGCCUCCUUCAGCCCACCUGCUGUGAACCUGGCCCCUGCCUGGCUGCAUGCCUGACUCCUAUGUGCCAUCCUGUUGACUGCUCAACAAAUGCCACCCAGCUCCAACCCUGAGCGGGCUCUCUGUCACCACCUGCAUCCAGAGUGUGAACCA
rnacentral:lncRNA from 10 species